rnacentral:rRNA from 1 species
GUGGGGAAUAUUGGGCAAUGGGCGAAAGCCUGACCCAGCAACGCCGCGUGAGGGAAGAAGGUCUUCGGAUUGUAAACCUCUGUCCUUGGUGACGAAGGAAGUGACGGUAGCCAAGGAGGAAGCCCCGGCUAACUACGUGCCAGCAGCCGCGGUAAUACGUAGGGGGCGAGCGUUGUCCGGAAUUACUGGGCGUAAAGGGUGCGUAGGCGGUACUUUAAGUUGGAUGUGAAAUACCCGGGCUUAACUUGGGGGGUGCAUCCAAUACUGGAGAACUAGAGUGCAGGAGAGGGAAGCGGAAUUCCUAGUGUAGCGGUGAAAUGCGUAGAUAUUAGGAGGAACACCAGUGGCGAAGGCGGCUUUCUGGACUGUAACUGACGCUGAGGCACGAAAGCGUGGGGAGCAAACAGG